GACGAACGCUGGCGGCGUGCUUAACACAUGCAAGUCGAACGGAAAGGCCCUGCUUGCAGGGUACUCGAGUGGCGAACGGGUGAGUAACACGUGGGUGAUCUGCCCUGCACUUCGGGAUAAGCCUGGGAAACUGGGUCUAAUACCGGAUAGGAGCCAUUUUUAGUGUGAUGGUUGGAAAGUUUUUUCGGUGUAGGAUGAGCUCGCGGCCUAUCAGCUUGUUGGUGGGGUAAUGGCCUACCAAGGCGGCGACGGGUAGCCGGCCUGAGAGGGUGGACGUCCACAUUGGGACUGAGAUACGGCCCAGACUCCUACGGGAGGCAGCAGUGGGGAAUAUUGCACAAUGGGCGCAAGCCUGAUGCAGCGACGCCGCGUGGGGGAUGACGGCCUUCGGGUUGUAAACUCCUUUCGCUAGGGACGAAGCUUUUUGUGACGGUACCUAGAUAAGAAGCACCGGCUAACUACGUG
rnacentral:rRNA from 1 species